rnacentral:lncRNA from 1 species
AGGGAGGUGGAAGGAUAAGACAGGGAAUUGAAUGAGUGAGUCAGAAAUGGCGAAAUUGUAGAGAUUUGGAACUAUAAUGGAGAAGCGAGAAGUCGGAGAACGAUUGCUUUCUUUUUUGGAGGAGAACUGUAUCGGAAGAUUAUUAUAAGCCCAAAUAAAUAGGACCGAUAUGAUUAUGUUAGACUGAAGCAAGACGUGGCGGUAUACUAUUUCCUGAUUGGAUGAUUUUAUUAGAUGACGUGGAUAGCUUAGAAUUUUAGCAUUAAGCCCUUUUAGUAUUUACUUGCUGGAUCUCUCUAUCAUUCGACCAAAAUCCAAUUCAAGUCUUUUACCUUAUUUAACGACAUGACCAUUGACAACAUUUUAC